CUUAUUCCAACUUAACAGAUGAGGACACAAGGCAUGAAGAAGGAAAAUGUGUUGCCUAAUCGUUGUGUCUGACUCUUUGCGACCCCAUAGAUUGUAGCCUACCAGGCUCCUCUGUCCAUGGGAUUUUCCAGGUUUAAAGGAAGCCCUAUUCAUCACUGAAGAGGAGAAUCUUAAAUCUAUUAAUAGAAGCAACCCUAUUGCUUAUGGUUUUAAAAAGCAGCAUUUCAAGAAUAUUCCUAAAAAGGAAAAUAUUAAUUCUGGGAUGGUGAUUGUGAAACAUAGAAACAGGUGGGUUUUAUGAGAUGGUAUGUGAAUUCUAUUUGUUGUGUGUGUAUGUGAGCAUGCACUAGAUGAAGUAAAGUGCAAAGUGAA